UACGAAGGGGGCUAGCGUUGUUCGGAAUUACUGGGCGUAAAGCGCGCGUAGGCGGAUUGUUAAGUGAAGGGUGAAAUCCCGGGGCUCAACCCCGGAACUGCCUCUCAUACUGACAAUCUCGAGUUCGAGAGAGGUGAGUGGAAUUCCGAGUGUAGAGGUGAAAUUCGUAGAUAUUCGGAGGAACACCAGUGGCGAAGGCGGCUCACUGGCUCGAAACUGACGCUGAGGUGCGAAAGCGUGGGGAGCAAACAGG
rnacentral:rRNA from 1 species